UACGUAGGGGGCAAGCGUUGCCCGGAAUCAUUGGGCGUAAAGCGCGCGUAGGCGGCCCUGUAAGUCCGUUGUGAAAGUCAAAGGCUCAACCUUUGAAAGCCGAUGGAUACUGCAGGGCUAGAGUCCGGAAGAGGCGAGUGGAAUUCCUGGUGUAGCGGUGGAAUGCGCAGAUAUCAGGAGGAACACCAAUAGCGAAGGCAGCUCGCUGGGACGGUACUGACGCUAAGGCGCGAAAGCGUGGGGAGCGAACAGG
rnacentral:rRNA from 1 species